AGAGUUUGAUCCUGGCUCAGAACGAACGUUAGCGGCGCGCUUAACACAUGCAAGUCGUGCGAGAAAGGGGCAACCCCGGUAAAGCGGCGCACGGGUGAGUAACACGUAGGUAAUCUGCCCCCAGGUGGUGGAUAACCUUCCGAAAGGAGGGCUAAUACAGCAUGAGACCACGGUCCCGAAAGGGAUUGAGGUCAAAGCCG
rnacentral:rRNA from 1 species